UUGUCAUUGCAGCUGCAAAAUUAGGAACUUUAUACAAUACUAUAGUAGCUAGGAAUAACAUUUCGUUUGCAUUAAUUCUAUGCAUAGGAAAAAGGCGGUUAUUUUGGAAGAUGAAAACUUGUGGUGUUACACAAAAAUAUGGAUAAAAAACAAUAUCAAGGCAUCUAGACUACUGAUAGACGUUAUCUCGCAGAAAACUGAAAAGAGCAGCAAAGAAAGGACAGAACGUAAAAAUCAGCAACUCUGAUGAGAUGGUAAAAAGCAGAUGAACGGGAGAUAAUAAAAUGCAGAUGGACGGCUUCUUUGAUCGUGAAGAGUUUGCUAUUAGUUAUGGGACGAGGGCAUUCCAAGGAAAUGACAUAUAUGAGUCUUUGAAGCAGUAUGCCAUUCAUUGCCUCAGUAUAGAGAUUCAACAUUUAAUGAUUUUAGGAAUAAAAAAGGUGUAGCUCCAGACAGACACUGAAAAGGAAGGCAAAGAUGUUUUCAGACUGACAUAAAGCCCUGGUUUCUAAAACUAGAAAUAUAUUCCUAACAGCAGGCACGAAUAUUUCCAGAAUUAUUCCCCUUUACUUGUUUACCUGACAUUACCUGUUUUAUUUGCAGGGAUAUUUAUGAAAUGAGCUAUGCACGUACAUUAUGAGUUUUCAAUGUUAUGAUGUGGUGGCAUAGAUUUUUUCACAAAUUUUAAUCUUGUUGUAUGUUCUUGAUUAAUCUAGUCAGCUUUUGUUUGUAAAAAAUAAAAGAAAAAUAAAUAAAAUUUAUCAAGAUAUGUUAUUAUUA